ACGCUCGACACCUACGGGAGCAGCAGUGGGGAAUAUUGCACAAUGGGGGAAACCCUGAUGCAGCGACGCCGCGUGAGCGAAGAAGUAUUUCGGUAUGUAAAGCUCUAUCAGCAGGGAAGAAACUGACGGUACCUGACUAAGAAGCACCGGCUAAAUACGUGCCAGCAGCCGCGGUAUCUGAGCGGGCUGGCAAGGC
rnacentral:rRNA from 1 species